rnacentral:rRNA from 1 species
UACGUAGGUGGCAAGCGUUAUCCGGAAUUAUUGGGCGUAAAGCGCGCGCAGGCGGUCCUUUAAGUCUGAUGUGAAAGCCCACGGCUCAACCGUGGAGGGUCAUUGGAAACUGGGGGACUUGAGUGCAGAAGAGGAGAGCGGAAUUCCACGUGUAGCGGUGAAAUGCGUAGAGAUGUGGAGGAACACCAGUGGCGAAGGCGGCUCUCUGGUCUGUAACUGACGCUGAGGCGCGAAAGCGUGGGGAGCGAACAGGAUUAGAUA